UACGGGGGGAGCAAGCGUUGUUCGGAUUUACUGGCGUAAAGGGCGCGUAGGCGGCCAGCACAAGUCAGUUGUGAAAUCUCCGAGCUUAACUCGGAAAGGUCAACUGAUACUGUGCGGCUAGAGUGCAGAAGGGGCAACUGGAAUUCUUGGUGUAGCGGUGAAAUGCGUAGAUAUCGAGAGGAACACCUGCGGCGAAGGCGGGUUGCUGGGCUGACACUGACGCUGAUGCGCGAAAAGCUAGGGGGAGC
rnacentral:rRNA from 1 species